rnacentral:rRNA from 1 species
GUGGGGAAUCUUGCGCAAUGGGCGAAAGCCUGACGCAGCCAUGCCGCGUGAAUGAUGAAGGUCUUAGGAUUGUAAAAUUCUUUCACCGGGGACGAUAAUGACGGUACCCGGAGAAGAAGCUCCGGCUAACUUCGUGCCAGUAGCCGCGGUAAUACGAAGGGGGCUAGCGUUGCUCGGAAUUACUGGGCGUAAAGGGCGCGUAGGCGGACAGCUUAGUCAGAGGUGAAAGCCCAGGGCUCAACCUUGGAAUUGCCUUUGAUACUGGCUGUCUUGAGUUUGGUAGAGGUGAGUGGAACUCCGAGUGUAGAGGUGAAAUUCGUAGAUAUUCGGAAGAACACCAGUGGCGAAGGCGACUCACUGGCCCAAUACUGACGCUGAGGCGCGAAAGCGUGGGGAGCAAACAGGAUUAGAUACCCGGGUAGUCC